AGUGAACGCUGGCGGUAGGCCCAACACAUGCAAGUCGAACGGCAGCACAGGAGAGCUUGCUCUCUGGGUGGCGAGUGGCGGACGGGUGAGGAAUACAUCGGAAUCUACUCUGUCGUGGGGGAUGACGUAGGGAAACUUACGCUAAUACCGCAUACGACCUACGGGUGAAAGCAGGGGAUCUUCGGACCUUGCGCGAUUGAAUGAGCCGAUGUCGGAUUAGCUAGUUGGCGGGGUAAAGGCCCACCAAGGCGACGAUCCGUAGCUGGUCUGAGAGGAUGAUCAGCCACACUGGAACUGAGACACGGUCCAGACUCCUACGGGAGGCAGCAGUGGGGAAUAUUGGACAAUGGGCGCAAGCCUGAUCCAGCCAUACCGCGUGGGUGAAGAAGGCCUUCGGGUUGUAAAGCCCUUUUGUUGGGAAAGAAAUCCAGCUGGCUAAUACCCGGUUGGGAUGACGGUACCCAAAGAAUAAGCACCGGCUAACUUCGUGCCAGCCGCCGCUGUAA
rnacentral:rRNA from 1 species